UACGGAGGGUGCAAGCAUUAAUCGGAUUUAUUGGGCGUAAAGGGCGCGUAGGCGGAUGUGUAAGUCAGAUGUGAAAUUCCGGGGCUCAACCUCGGAGCUGCAAUUGAAACUACACUGUCUAGAGGAUAGGCGGAGAAAACAGAAUUCCACAAGUAGCGGUGAAAUGCGUAGAUAUGUGGAAGAAUACCGGUGGCGAAGGCGGUUUUCUAGCUUACUCCUGACGCUGAAGCGCGAAAGCAAGGGGAUCAAACAGG
rnacentral:rRNA from 1 species